rnacentral:lncRNA from 1 species
UCCCGAAUCUCUAUUAUUAUACAAGAAAAAGAAACGUAAAAUUGAAUCGGGCGAUAUGAUUUUCAAUGUAAGCUUUACCUGGAUCUCUAGAAAACCUAUGGAAACUACGUCCAGAUGAAGAACCCUUAUCCAAAUUGGAGCAACCCUGACGUUGAAAAUAACAUACCCCCUUCAUUCAGCUCCUGUUCAUUCCUGCAGGCCCAAGAUUUUAAUUUAAUACUGCUUUACUAUGCCAAACUGCCAAUAGAAAUUCCUUGUCGCCUCUAUGUAUUUUUUCUAUUUGGGACCAACUUAUUUGGGUUGUUGGAAUCGUUGAAAAAGAACGAAAUUGAUUGGUUGAAAGAGAUUAUAAAAAAAAAGGAAUAAAACACCUUGGUACGCUUACAUCUUUUAAACAAAUUUUCCUUAGAAUUGUACUAAUCAUCAGCAAAGCAACUUCCUUAUACUUCUCUCUUACAGUCACGUGCAUUAUCAUCAUGCCGAAGAAAACGUGCCUUUUUUCAUGGGUUUCUAACAACGGAUGUGUGGAAUUAUGAUUUGGAAAAUAAAAGUAUAUCUUGGCGUUUUUGCAGUUUCUCAUGCCCAUUUUGUUCUUUAUGGCAAGUAAUCACCAUUCUAAAACCUCCCAUCACAUCGAUAUCUUCCAGAAACAUAAGAUUCAAGGAGAAUUAAAUACUUGAUCAUUCAAUUUGGACGUAGCAAAGUUAUUUGUGUCGUGUAACAUCCCUUUAAAUGUUCUGGAUCAUCCUAAUUUCUCCAGGUUUAUUGAAAAAUAUACUGGAAAAACUUCUCCAGGUCGAUGGGUCGUUAACAACUUGGUUGGGGAAGUAUGUCAAGGAGUUUUGAACAGAAUAAAAGAAGAAGUGGAAGAAAAUGAUAUUUUCGUUGCACUAGAUGAGACAAGAGAUCAUCAAGGGAGGUCAAUGAUGACAAUUUUGAUUGGCCCUGUGGACGGACAUUUCUGUGCGAGACCUUACCUUAUGGACUUGACUGAUAUUGAGAUUGCAAACACAAUCAAUGUAAAGAACAUCGUCAUAAGCUCAGUUUAUAAGUUAAUGGGAGAACUGAUGCCACCUCGUAUUGUCUCAAAGCAGGAGAAGAUCUUGGAAAAAAAUCCUGCAAUUGAUUUACAUUACGUGUAUUGCUCAUAAGUUACAUAGAGUUGCAGAUAUGGUUCAACAAAAGUUUCCUCUUAUGAACGAACUUAUUUCCUAUGUAAAGAAGAUGUUUUUGAAUUCUGGAAGAAGAAUGAGAGUACUGCUUCAUACAAAAUUCCCCUCCCUCCAUCACCAAUUAUAGCAAGAUAAGGAACUUGGUUAAAAGCAGUGGAGUACUAUUACCAUCACUUCGACGUCUUCAGAGAAUAUUUAAACAGCCUUGAUGAAGAUUUUGGCAGCAACCAGAAGAGCACAAGAGGUAAUUAAUAAUGAUUCCUUAAUAGUAGAAUUCGUAUAUAUACAGGAAAUUUUUCGUCAAAUACCUUUGGGAAUAACUGCACUUAAGGAAAGAUUACCUCUUCUUACAAGCCUAACCAUAGUAGAAAAUCUGACUCAAGAUUUGAAGGAAGAACAAUUCAAGACCAAGUUAAAAAAAGUGCUCUAAAAGAAUCCUGGCUACACAAAACUAAAGGAACAAGUGAAAACCUUGUAUACAAAAAUACUCCUAUAACACAUCCAGUCUCUUAUUUAAUUUAAUUGUAAUAUUAGUGUCUGAAAGGAGGUUUAUUUGAUGUUAAUUAAAUUGAUAUUUAGUUACUUAUUAUGUACAAUUUUUUUUUUCCUUUGAAAAAAUGUACUCCAAUUGUCAAUUGUAAUGCUGAGAGAGAAUGUCAUCAAUACGAAAAGGAGGUCCAAACUAAGUACUAAGAAAUUGAGGGAAUUGUUGAUCGCCAAAUGGAAUAAAUGUUUUGUUAUCAUUUAAUUGUCAACACAUUUCGUGCUAAAGUUAUCUAUUCAUCCUUUAUGGCCAGUAGUCACUAAGAAGUUACGAGUACACUUCCUACAGAUACAACUGCACCACUGUCAUAUGUAGCCAUUAUAUUUUUGAAGUAACUUCCAUGGUAAUUCAAUGCAUCGAUACAAUUGAUCUCAUAUUUUCAAAAGAAAGUUGCUUACGAAUACGAGAGUUUUCAGCAUUUUAACUAAUUUCAUCAAUUUAUAAUGUCUAAAGCUUAGUGGGUCGUACUUAUCUGCCCAAGUCCGAUAAACACGUGAGACUAUAUGGAACAAUAUAUCUCAACCAAAACAGUGAAGAUAAUUUUUAUCAAGUAUACCUAUUAUUCUAAACGUAAUUGCCAAAUUAACUAGAGAAUCUUAAAUUUUUGUCGAUUCUAUAUCAAUGAGGUAUUAGUUUUAAGAUACUUGAGUUUAAUUAAAUAGUUACAUCAAAUAACAUAUUAUUAAAGUUUUUUACUACAUUUAAUCUUAAAGGUUGUUUGCUAAAAACAACCCUUGUACAUAGUCGGUAUUUGAAUUUAUUCAUGUUUUCUUAUCACUUAAAACUCUAGCUAUAAGUUAAGAGUGGAACGAAACUGAAAGAAUGUUUACAAUUAUUAAUUAUCCAUGAUCCCUGUCUAUAUGUAAUUAUGUUCCACUUUAUCACAAUGACUUGUUCUUUCAUGCUGGGAGUAACGAAGUAACAUGAUAUGCAAUUCGUCAAAGAGCGACAGUCAAUACAAAUUACUAAUGACAAUAGAUAUGGAUUGACUAUAUUUGGCAUUGGGUUAAAUUAUAGAAUUGAUGAUGACAAGGCUAAAGAGUUAACACAGAAUAAUCCUUCAAUUUGUAGUUGAGUGAAAUCAAACAGUCUUCUGCGUAGAUUGUAUUGACAGACUUGGAGGAGGGGAACCCAGUACUCCCAAUUCUUUGAAAUAAACGAUUAUUUUUUUCUUAA